AUGCAUUGGUUUGCUUGGUGGAAGGUGUCUGUUUCAAAGGAGAAAGGAGGCUUAGGCUUUCGCGAUGUUAAUAGUUUCAAUUUGACUAUGCUCGCGAAACAAUGUUGGAGACUCGUUGAGAAUUAGGAAUCUCUUUGACCCAUGGUUGUAAGGUCCAAGUACUACCCAUCUAGAGAUAUCCUAAACUGUCAACUCAAGAAAGGUUCCUCCUAUGUAUGGCAGAGUAUAUGAGCUGGCAUUCAGACUUUCAAAAAAAAGGUGUAUUUGGAGAGUGAGAAAUGGCAUGAAGAUCAACAUUUGGGAGGAUAG
rnacentral:rRNA from 1 species